AUUGAACGCUGGCGGCAGGCCUAACACAUGCAAGUCGAGCGAGCGGCGGACGGGUGAGUAAUGUCUGGGAAACUGCCUGAUGGAGGGGGAUAACUACUGGAAACGGUAGCUAAUACCGCAUACCAUCAGAUGUGCCAAGAUGGGAUUAGCUAGUAGGUUGGGUAAUGGCUCACCUAGGCGACGAUCCCUAGCUGGUCUGAGAGGAUGACCAGCCACCCUGGAACGGAGACACGGUCCAUACUCCGACGGGAGGCAGCAUUGGGGAAUAUUGCACAAUGGGCGCAAGCCUGAUACAGCCAUGCCGCGUGUGUGAAGAAGGCCUUCGGGUUGUAAAGCACUUUCAGCGGGGAUGCGUUACCCGCAGAAGAAGCACCGGCUAACUCCGUGCCAGCAGCCGCGGUAAUAC
rnacentral:rRNA from 1 species